UACGGGGGGGGCAAGCGUUGUUCGGAAUUACUGGGCGUAAAGGGCGCGUAGGCGGUUGGAUAAGUCAGCUGUGAAAACCACGAGCUUAACUCGUGGCCUGCAGUUGAGACUGUCUGGCUUGAGUGUGGGAGAGGAGAGUGGAAUUCCUGGUGUAGCGGUGAAAUGCGCAGAUAUCAGGAAGAACACCGAUGGCGAAGGCAGUUCUCUGGGACGGUACUGACGCUGAGACGCGAAAGCGUGGGGAGCGAACAGG
rnacentral:rRNA from 1 species